rnacentral:sRNA from 1 species
CGAGUGCAAGUGGGAAGUGAUUCAGGUGAUGAAAGGAAAGACAAAUUUCCCUCAUGGAUAUUUCUUUCUUCUCAUUUGCCCAGAAAUCCCAACUACCCUUAUGAGUUCUCACGGAAAGUACCCACAUUUGCAACCCCCUGGCCUGACUUUGUACCCCGUGCUGGUGGAGAGAACUACAAGGAGUUCAGUGCGCUGCUCCCCAAUCGACAGGGCCUGAAGAAAGCCGAUUGCUCCUUCUGGUCCAAGUACAUCUCGUCUCUGAAGGCAUCUGCAGAUGGAGCCAAGGGCGGGAAGUCAGCAGAGAGUGAAGAGGAGUUGACGGCUGGAUCUGGGCUAAGAGAAGAUCUCCUAAGCCUCCAGGAACCAGGCUCUAAGAGCUACAGCAAGUGACCAGCCCUUGAGCUCCCCAAAAACCUCACCCAAGGCUGCCUACUAUGGUCAUCUUUUUCUCUAAAAUAGCCACUUACCUUCAA